rnacentral:rRNA from 1 species
GCAUAUCAAUAAGCGGAGGAAAAGAAACCAACAGGGAUUGCCCCAGUAACGGCGAGUGAAGCGGCAAGAGCUCAAAUUUGAAAGCUGGCUCCUUCGGGGUCCGCAUUGUAAUUUGCAGAGGAUGCUUCGGGAGCGGUCCCCAUCUAAGUGCCCUGGAACGGGACGUCAUAGAGGGUGAGAAUCCCGUAUGGGAUGGGGUGUCCGCGCCCGUGUGAAGCUCCUUCGACGAGUCGAGUUGUUUGGGAAUGCAGCUCUAAAUGGGUGGUAAAUUUCAUCUAAAGCUAAAUAUUGGCCGGAGACCGAUAGCGCACAAGUAGAGUGAUCGAAAGAUGAAAAGCACUUUGAAAAGAGAGUUAAAAAGCACGUGAAAUUGUUGAAAGGGAAGCGCUUGCGACCAGACUCGCUCGCGGGGUUCAGCCGGCAUUCGUGCCGGUGUACUUCCCCGCGAGCGGGCCAGCGUCGGUUUGGGCGGUCGGUCAAAGGCCUCUGGAAGGUAACGCCCCCUCGGGGGCGUCUUAUAGCCAGGGGUGCAAUGCGGCCUGCCCGGACCGAGGAACGCGCUUCGGCUCGGACGCUGGCAUAAUGGUCGUAAGCGACCCGUCUUGAAACACGGACC